GGGGAUUUAGCUCAGUGGUAGAGCGCUUGCCUAGCAAGCUCAAGGCCCUGAGUUCGGUCCUCAGCUCCG
rfam:Rattus norvegicus chromosome 1, whole genome shotgun sequence.